rnacentral:antisense_RNA from 1 species
GGGCCUCUGCUAAUGCUGGAGAGCUCAAGAAAGAAAAGAGCAAUGUUAAGUGAGGCUGUACCCACAGAUCAUGCUCAAGCAAACUCGAACCGUGAGCACAUUUCUCUUAAACAAAGAACGCUUAGAAUAAAAAUUAAAAUUUCCCACAAAUUUCUAACUUUAAAAUAGUUUCCCAAGAUUUCAGUGGUAUCGUAUAUAUGCCCAUAAAAUUUUUUGGAUUACUAUUCCCACAAGUGUAAGAUGAAAGAGGACCUGCCCUCCAUUCUAUCUACUCCCUCUCUGCAAAGGCCAUUUUGAAGAUCUCAGUUUUACUGAAAGGGGUCUGCCACACAUAACUUCCCUGGUGUACCAGCAACAAGUGUUCAGUGGACCAUGGCAACACAGAGAAUGACGGAGGAGAGAAAAUGCCAUGCAGAAGUGAUAGUCAAGAUGAAGAUGUGGCAGAAGAGCAGCCCCCAGUAUAUAUUCAGUGUGUCCUCUGAAGUAACAACCAUCCCAUCUGGCUGAGAAGUGAUGGACACGGCUCCUUAACCACACUGUACCCUCCGUUCUUGGCACCUCUCUACCAGAAAGAUAUCGACAAAUUGGAUGGAAUUCAGAGAACAGCAAGAAAAAUGAUUAAAGAGAUGGAGGCAGUGACUUACGAGGAAAGAUGAAAAGGACUAAAACUGUAUAGCUUGGCAAAGCAGCAACUGAGGUGGCAUAUGAAAACUGUCUACAAGCAUUUGAAGAAUAUAAACACCAAAGAAAGAGAAGGAACUUUUUAGAAUGGUCUGGGGAAUAAGCAGAGCAAGAGGACAGAAUUGAAGAAAGGAGAGAGAUAUGCUAAGUUGGGGGCAGGGGCGUUUUCUCAUCAAUUGUAAAUUUUGAUAAAUAACCAAAUUAAGUCUAGAGAGAAAGAGUUGCAUCUCAUGCUUUUAGGUUACAAUCAGUGUUGACCUGCACUGAGAAAAUGUGACUUCCUAUUAUCCUUCUCAAAGUUAUUGCUGCAGAGGAAAGAAGCAUACAUCUUUCACCCACCAGGAAACCCCCAAAGCACCUAUUACUGUAAUAGCCAUGGGAAACAGAAGGCACCUCAAAUAAAGGUAGGGGGAAAAAAUGAAAGAGAUGACUUUGGCCUGUGCCUGUUUGACCUCUGAGAGAUACUUUUUGCAAGAAAUUGUUAAGUUUUGGCCCAAGAAGUGGUCGGUCUUUUAUCCUUCUUUGUGGAGGCCAAAAUGCAAACCAGGAUGAAGAAACCAUAAGUGGCAGUUUGAGGAGGCGGUGGAGGGACUAUCUAGACUCAGUGUAUCACCAACGAAACAUGAGGCCU